AACGAACGCUGGCGGCAGGCUUAACACAUGCAAGUCGAACGCCACGCAAGGGGAGUGGCAGACGGGUGAGUAACGCGUGGGCGUCUACCGUGCCCUGCGGAAUAGCUCCGGGAAACUGGAAUUAAUACCGUAUACGCCCUACGGGGGAAAGAUUUAUCGGGGUAUGAUGAGCCCGCGUUGGAUUAGCUAGGUGGUGGGGUAAAGGCCUACCAAGGCGACGAUCCAUAGCUGGUCUGAGAGGAUGAUCAGCCACAUUGGGACCGAGACACGGCCCAAGCUCCUACGGGAGGCAGCAGUGGGGAAUAUUGGACAAUGGGCGCAAGCCUGAUCCAGCCAUGCCGCGUGAGUGAUGAAGGCCUUAGGGUUGUAAAGCUCUUUCACCGAUGAAGAUAAUGACGGUAGUCGGAGAAGAAGCCCCGGCUAACUUCGUGCCAGCCGCCGCAGUAA
rnacentral:rRNA from 1 species